AGAGUUUGAUCCUUGAGCUCAGAAUCAACGCUGGCGGCGUGCCUCAGACAUGCAAGUCGAACGCGAAAGUCCCCUUCGGGGGGCAAGUAGAGUGGCGCACGGGUGAGUAACACGUAGGUAAUCUACCUUUGGAUUGGGAAUAACCACCGGAAACGGUGGCUAAUACCGAAUAAUGCAGCGGCACCUAAUGGUGACAGUUGUUAAAGCGGGGGAUCGCAAGACCUCGCGUCUGAAGAGGAGCCUGCGGCAGAUUAGCUAGUUGGUAAGGUAACGGCUUACCAAGGCGAUGACCUGUAGCCGGCCUGAGAGGGCGGUCGGCCACACUGACACUGACAUACGGGUCAGACUCCUACGGGAGGCAGCAGUCGGGAAUUUUGGGCAAUGGGCGAAAGCCUGACCCAGCAACGCCGCGUGAAGGAUGAAAUCCUUCGGGAUGUAUACUUCGCAAGAACGGGAAGAAUAAGUAAGGGUUAAUAUCUCUUACGAUGACGGUACUGUUUGUAAGCUCCGGCUAACUCCGUGCUAGCCGCCGCGGUAAUAC
rnacentral:rRNA from 1 species